GGUUUCUAAAAGCUAUUUCAACCCCCCUCCCAGUUACUGCCACCCUCUCCCAGGUCUAGAGAGGGGUACCCACGGUGGAGGGAGGUGGGAGGCCGAGACGGCCCCGGGGGUCGGCGGAGACCCAGCGGGAGCAGGGGGAAAUCGGAAGAGCUGGGGGCAUGGAGCGGGCGAGUUUGGAGCGGAAUGAGCCGGGAGCCCUACGUUGUGGAAGGAAGACAACAGUAUAGGACCAUCAGCAGGACCGGACAGAGAGGGGCACCCCUGGCUGUCCUGGAACUUGUAGACCAGGCUGGCCUUGAACUCAGAAAUCCGCCUGCCUCUGACUCCCGAGUGCUGAGAUUAAAGGUGUGCACCACCACACCCGACAAGGAAGCCUGUUUUAAGAAGUGAUUCCAUGGAGGAGUUCUGCGGCGGCUCAGGGCUUGACUAAACAGUGGACCUCAGACAAGAGAGGCUAAACCAGGCUGCAGGUGACAGGAAGAAUUGAAUAAACUGAAAGCAAAGGGCAGCCUUCUAAUUACGCUUCGUGGCUAUGUGGACAACCUGGAGAAGUCUGGAAACCCAGCCCCACCCCAUCACAUUCUUACUCCUUCCCUUUCCAAGAAAGAAGCCAGAAGCCCGAAGCCAGCAGUAGAGCUCUGACUGGCUUGUAUGCCUAGAAAGGAAGGGCUCUUCUUUCGCCUCACGGGCACAAAUGGGACCCACGAGCGCCGAUUUCAGACUAUUCUGAUCCCUUCAAAAAGAAAGUUAGGAGUCCAGGCUACUGUGAGUGAAUUUGAUUCUAAUUGUUUCAGAGAAUAUGGAAUAAAAUAUCUCAUUUGCAGUUGUU
rnacentral:lncRNA from 1 species